rnacentral:rRNA from 1 species
UCCGUAGGUGAACUGCGGAAGGAUCAUUAAUGAAUUUUAGGACGUUCUUUUUAGAAGUCCGACCCUUUCAUUUUCUUACACUGUGCACACACUUCUUUUUUACACACACUUUUAACACCUUAGUAUAAGAAUGUAAUAGUCUCUUAAUUGAGCAUAAAUAAAAACAAAACUUUCAGCAACGGAUCUCUUGGCUCUCGCAUCGAUGAAGAACGCAGCGAAUUGCGAUAAGUAAUGUGAAUUGCAGAAUUCAGUGAAUCAUCGAAUCUUUGAACGCACCUUGCACUCUUUGGUAUUCCGAAGAGUAUGUCUGUUUGAGUGUCAUGAAACUCUCAACCCCCCUAUUUUGUAAUGAGAUGGGUGUGGGCUUGGAUUAUGGUUGUCUGUCGGCGUAAUUGCCGGCUCAACUGAAAUACACGAGCAACCCUAUUGAAAUAAACGGUUUGACUUGGCGUAAUAAUUAUUUCGCUAAGGACGUUUUCUUCAAAUAUAAGAGGUGCUUCUAAUUCGCUUCUAAUAGCAUUUAAGCUUUAGACCUCAAAUCAGUCAGGACUACCCGCUGAACUUAAGCAUAUCAAUAAGCGGAGGAAAAG